GACUUGAAGUGGACUGUUGCUGGCCUUUCACAAGGCAUGUGCACGUCUUCUUUAGAUCUAUUCAUCCACCUGUGCACUUUUUGUAGAAGCUCUCUAGGUUGUUGUUGGGUUGUGCAGCUCGCGCAGCUCUGUGAUGACCUAGGCUUCUAUGUCUUAUAAACUCUAUUGAAUGUAUUUGAAGGUCAUUUACUGGGACUUAACUGGCCCUUUAAACUUAUACAACUUUCAGCAACGGAUCUCUUGGCUCUCGCAUCGAUGAAGAACGCAGCGAAAUGCGAUAAGUAAUGUGAAUUGCAGAAUUCAGUGAAUCAUCGAAUCUUUGAACGCACCUUGCGCCCCUUGGUAUUCCGAGGGGCAUGCCUGUUUGAGUGUCAUUAAAUUCUCAACCUCAAAAGCUUUUAUUGAAGUUUCUGAGGCUUGGACUGUGGAGGCCUGCUGGCAUCUCAGAUGUUCUGGCUCCUCUUAAAUGCAUUAGUGGAAACCGUUUGUCGGACCAACCUUGGUGUGAUAAUUAUCUACGCCUUGGCUUAUCUGACGGUUCUUUGGUUGGGACGGCUGCGUUAGUUCGCUCUGUCUAUUUAAUCUCAAAGAGCUUAUAAAAGGGUUGCCUGCUCUCUAACUGUCUGUGUAAAUGGACAACUUAUUGACUAUUUUGACCUCAAAUCAGGUAGGACUACCCGCUGAACUUAAGCAUAUCAAUAAGCGGAGGAAAAGAAACUAACAAGGAUUCCCCUAGUAACUGCGAGUGAAGAGGGAAAAGCUCAAAUUUAAAAUCUGGCAGUCUCUGGCUGUCCGAGUUGUAAUUUAGAGAAGUGUUACCCGUGUUGGACCGUGUACAAGUCUCUUGGAAUGG
rnacentral:rRNA from 1 species